rnacentral:lncRNA from 1 species
UGAAGAAGGAAUAAUUGCAAUUUGAUUGUAAUUUAAUUUAAUUAAUUGGAUUUAAUUAAUUGGACUUGAUCAUAUUAGACACGAGUCCUACUUGGAGUAGGAUUCUAAGAAUCCUAAUUAGAUUAGGAUUUCAAAUUAAAUUAGAGUCCUACUAGGAGUAGGAUUUCUAGAGUCCUAAUUAGAUUAGGACUGAAAUUUAAUAUGUCCUAAUUAGAUUA